rnacentral:rRNA from 1 species
UACGGGGGUGGCGAGCGUUACUCGGAUUUAUUGGGUGUAAAGGGCAGGUAGGUGUUCCGCCAAGUUAGAGGUGAAAUCCUGUGGCUUAACCACAGAACUGCCUUUAAAACUGGCGGAAUUGAGGCCGGCAGAGGAGAGUGGAAUUCCCGGUGUAAGGGUGAAAUCUGUAGAUAUCGGGAGGAACACCAGUGGCGAAAGCGACUCUCUGGGCUGGCCCUGACGCUAAUCUGCGAAAGCUAGGGGAGCAAACAGG